rnacentral:tRNA from 1 species
GCGCUGGUGGGGAAUGGUUAUAUUCUGCCGCGCCUGACCGCCGCAGGCGUGGAUGUGCAAAGCGUCAACAUGGAUCGUGUCCGUGUUGUCGUA